AUACUCUCCAGACGUCGCUGCACAUUCAGCGACCGGGCUUGGUAACCCGGUGG
rnacentral:ncRNA from 1 species